CGCGUCGCCGCCGGGACGGCCCGCGGCCCGGGGCGGCUGGUCCUGCGCGACGACCAUGAGCCGGAGCAGUGCCUGAUCGAACCCGGCCGACGCGC
rnacentral:tRNA from 1 species